rnacentral:rRNA from 1 species
UGGGGAAUUUUGGACAAUGGGCGAAAGCCUGAUCCAGCAAUGCCGCGUGUGUGAAGAAGGCCUUCGGGUUGUAAAGCACUUUUGUCCGGAAAGAAAUGGCUCUGGUUAAUACCUGGGGUCGAUGACGGUACCGGAAGAAUAAGGACCGGCUAACUACGUGCCAGCAGCCGCGGUAAUACGAAGGGUCCAAGCGUUAAUCGGAAUUACUGGGCGUAAAGCGUGCGCAGGCGGUUGUGCAAGACCGAUGUGAAAUCCCCGAGCUUGACUUGGGAAUUGCAUUGGUGACUGCACGGCUAGCUUGUGUCAGAGGGGGGUAGAAUUCCACGUGUAGCAGUGAAAUGCGUAGAGAUGUGGAGGAAUACCGAUGGCGAAGGCAGCCCCCUGGAAUAAAACUGACGCUCAUGAACGAAAGCGUGGGGAGCAAACAGG